UCAUCAAAGUAGAAAUCUGGA
rnacentral:piRNA from 1 species